AAAAAAAAACUGGAUAAGCAAAACUUGGAACAAACUAUAAACUAAUUAAAUGUGGGUUGAGUUUUCCAAAAAUAAAUUGAAGCCAUAAGGAUGUGAUGUGAGCCAAUAAAUAGUACAGUUAGUCAAAGUUACUGUGGAGCGACGGAAAGAUGGUUUGAAGUCACCGAUAGGUGGGCUCUCCGUGAGCUUGGCUUCCUAUCAGUAGGAAGGCUUGUUCUCUCGUGCACCAGAGUGGGAUCAAGUCUUCUGGUAUCUAUAACUGGGACCUCAGAGAGGUUACUAAGAGAAUAUGAGAGGAUUUUCAAGUAGAGGAAUAAAGGAAAAAAUUACUCCAAAUGUGCCUGAGUCUCUCCUGCAAGAGCAGCAGGGGUAAUACCACCAACCAAGGACACCGGGAUAUUUUUUCAUGUGUGUUGGGGCAGCCCUCCAGCCUCAUUACCCACAGGGCAUCCACGCUCUCUACUUGGCCACCUGCAAGGCCCACUGAAGCACCAUUGCCACAGUCAAUAAUCCAUCCUCUUCCCCCUUAAGACAGUCACCUAAAACAGCUCUCUCAAAGAAUUUCAUACCAGUCCUAUCACCGCAGUCACAGAAGCACUCAGCACCCAACAGAUGAGCUUUUUGCUCGCCUGCCAGGUGCUCAGCUGCCAACGGUGGCUGCAGCUGCAGAAACCCCGUGGAAUAAAUAGGGCGCUUAUUAGCUCGUCUCUACCAGUGCAGCCCCAGAGAGCAGGUAGGGCAUCCACCACCUAACUCCAACUUCAGCUUGCUGCACGCUGCAGUCCCUCAGGAGGGUGCAUCCCUAAGGAGCAAGCCAGGGGUGCACAGAUGUGGAGGCACGGGGCAUUUGUUACAGGGAAGGAGAAAGCGCUUCACAGCCAAAGUGGUGGCACGUGCAAGCAAUGCAUUUUUGCUGCAGGGCAGAAUGAGCAGUUUUAGUUCUCCAAUAUUCUCUCUGCAAUGCUGUUUUGUGACAACUAAACACCAGAUGGGCUUCAGGAAAGGUGCUUGGUGUGAGAUGCUAAGGCACUUCAGCCCCUCAGCACUCCUCCAAAGGUGGAAGGGGACCUCUGCCACAUAAGAGAUUAUAAGGCCUUUUUAUAAUCUCCAUUAUAAGACCUUCAGAUUCUGCUCCAUCUUUCAGUAGCAAAUUGCCCUUAAAUUGUCUUUAUUUUUCAAGGACAAAGAAAAAUUGAUCAUUUUUAGGUCAUAAAUGCUCUACAGUGAAGUCUACCUGCUCUUUUCUGUGUAUCUCUAAGCACCCAGGGAUGGGGCUGAUGCUAACUUAGCAGUUGUGGAGGGCUUCCCAGCUCGGUGUGACUGCAGCGGUGCCAGGAGCAUUCUGCAUCAUCUUUUCCACAUGGGACGGUCAACCUGUAAUCCUCAGGCUCUGCACGCAGAGAGACUCUAAUCAGCACACUUUGGUGCGGGAUUGGGGACCACCUCUGUCCUAGCCCUGCAGCCACAUCACUCCUGGAAACCUCCAGGAGAGGGAGAGCAGACCAAAUGGAGAUGAAAAAACUUAUUACGCCAUUUUUCGCCCCUGCAAGGCACAAGCCCCUGGCUCCCCCAGGAAACCCAGGAGUGCUCAGGCUGCAUUUGGUUCAGAGGACCAGGAUCUGCCCUCAGAUGCUUAAAUUACAUCAUGAUCUAACUUCACCCCGGGGAGAGAAGAGCUCUGCAGAAUACUGUCCGUCCUUCUGCUUUGGUAAUCUUCAGUAUUUCUCGGGUACCUUUCGCCAGUUAUCUGCCUGUCAGUGCAAUGACUGCUCACGGGGCAUUGGGACCUUUCCUACAGACGUACCCCGAGGUUGUGCCCCAGCAAUGCUGGUCUGUCCCGGUGAGCUGCAGGGCCAGGGGCCAGCGAGGUGGUGCCCAGCACUCUGGGGAGGAUUUGGCCAGACUGGUUUCUCUUUGAAUUCAGUCAGUUGAUGUCUGUGCCUGCAGGCAAGGACAGGGAGAGUGUGCCCAACCCCACGCUCCUCCAUCUGCCCUUGGACCUGCUCGUCUCCUCUGUCCACUGUCACAGCCCAUCUUGCUCCUGCCCAAGGCACUGAAAUCACACAACGCCAGGGAUCCUUCUCUUCCACCUGCAGAAAGACACUUCCCCUUCAGGACAUCUCAAGUUUUCUCCCCCAGAUUUCACUUUCCGUGCCCCAAAGCUGCUCCUGCUGGGACAACCCAUGCUCCAUCCUUCUGGGUCCCUGUCUGUGUCGCAGAGGUCGGGGUGCUGGUGCUGGGUCUGGCCAGUGCCCGCCGCUGGGGUGGGCUGGCAGGGACGCCUGUGACGGGAGGACUGCACAGGCAAUUAUCUGCCAUAUUGUGCUCUCGCUUGUGUUUAAAAACAACAACAGCUCAACUGACUCAUAGAUCCUACGGCCUCUGAGUCAUUUUUUA